rnacentral:rRNA from 1 species
GACGAACGCUGGCGGCGUGCCUAAUACAUGCAAGUCGAACGGUUUAGUUCCAAGAGGCAAGACUCUUGGAACUAAGCAGUGGCGGACGGGUGAGUAACACGUAGGCAACCUACCUGUCAAACCGGGAUAACCUCGGGAAACCGAAGCUAAACCCGGAUAAGCUCCUUUUUCGCAUGAAGGGGGAGUGAAAAGGUGCGACCUGAUGACAGACGGGCCUGCGGCGCAUUAGCUAGUAGGUAGGGUAACGGCCUACCUAGGCGAUGAUGCGUAGCCGACCUGAGAGGGCGUACGGCCACACUGGGACUGAGAUACGGCCCAGACUCCUACGGGAGGCAGCAGUAGGGAAUCUUCGGCAAUGGGCGAAAGCCUGACCGAGCAACGCCGCGUGAGUGAGGAAGGCCUUCGGGUUGUAAAACUCUGUUGUUUGGGAAGAAGGGAAAGGGUAGGACCCUUAGGUGACGGUACCAAACGAGAAAGCCCCGGCUAACUACGUG